CCCGGGCCUUGUACACACCGCCCGUCACACCAUGGGAGCGGGUUCUGCCAGAAGUAGUUAGCCUAACCGCAAGGGGGGCGAUUACCACGGCAGGGUUCGUGACUGGGGUG
rnacentral:rRNA from 1 species